GACGAACGCUGGCGGCGUGCCUAAUACAUGCAAGUCGAACGAGAGCGACCGGUGCUUGCACUGGUCAAUCUAGUGGCGAACGGGUGAGUAACACGUGGGUAACCUGCUCAUCAGAGGGGGAUAACAUCCGGAAACGGAUGCUAAAACCGCAUAGGUCUUCGAGCCGCAUGGCUUGAAGAGGAAAAGAGGCGCAAGCUUCUGCUAAUGGAUGGACCCGCGGUGCAUUAGCUAGUUGGUGAGGUAACGGCUCACCAAGGCCGUGAUGCAUAGCCGACCUGAGAGGGUGAUCGGCCACAUUGGGACUUGGACACGGCCCAAACUCCUACGGGAGGCAGCAGUAGGGAAUCUUCCGCAAUGGACGCAAGUCUGACGGAGCAACGCCGCGUGAGUGAAGAAGGUUUUCGGAUCGUAAAACUCUGUUGUUAGAGAAGAACAAGUGCUAGAGUAACUGUUAGCGCCUUGACGGUAUCUAACCAGAAAGCCACGGCUAACUACGUG
rnacentral:rRNA from 1 species